UGGUGGAGUGAUUUGUCUGGUUAAUUCCGUUAACGAACGAGACCUUAGCCUGCUAACUAGUUGGCGCAAUCUCGAUUGUAGACAGCUUCUUAGAGGGACUUUGUGAAUCAACACAAGGAAGUUUGAGGCAAUAACA
rnacentral:rRNA from 1 species